rnacentral:lncRNA from 1 species
UUACAAUGAGAAGGUUUCCUUUAUAUAGUAGGAGACCUUCCUUGAAAUAAUCAAAAAAUACAAAAGUUGGUGGCUUCCACUCAAUAAAAGGGUCAGACGCUAAACGUCGUCACUUCUUCUUCACCAAUUUGGGUCGUGCCCUCGCUUGGGUCGUCUUUAUCAUAGGGGACGUGCCCACCUGGUGUGGGGAAGUUAUGAGCCAAAUUUAACCGUAUACACCUAACAUUAUGAUAUUUGUUUGACUCAAAAGCUAUCAAAUACUUUCCAAGCAAAUUAAUCAAAAUGAAUCAAGGGUAAAUCCUUGUUAAGAAUAGUUAACUCUAGAUCCAAGAUUAAUAAUACGAAUUAAAAGACAUAGUCGAAUAUAAAUGUUGAUCGCGAUUAUGACCAAAUUUAAUGGAAUAAAGAAAGAUGCAUUAAAUAACAAAAAUAUGAAUAAAGGAAAAGGUUCACCCAAUCUUUAGUGAGACGGAUCUUCUUUCUUUUCAUAAAAAUGAAUGAUAGACAAAUACAAGAACCUCAUGAUGCUUUUUGGAUCUAAUGAAGGUAUUGGAUCACAUAUCCUCUCAUUUCUUUAAAGAGACGUGUUUACAUAUUUUCUAGAAAGAGGGAGAGAGAGGGAGAGGGAGAGGGAGAGGGAGAGGGAGAGGGAGAGUCCAAUAAUAGUUCGGUAAUCCUCCUCCCUUUACAAUGCUUGGGUCCCUUUUUUGGGAAGUCCUCACUUCCUAUGUAUAAGGGGGUAUCUAUAGAAAAUCCUAAAAAAUGUACAAUUUACAAGGAAUAUUCGGUAGAAUAUUCCUUUUGAUUUUUCUAAAGCAAACUAGAUGUUUGAUGACGGUCCGACCAUGGCCGUCCGACCACGACCAUUGAUGACGGUCCGACCUUGGCUUGUCCAACCACGACUAUUGAUGACAGUCCGACCUUGGCCUGUCCGACCAUGACCACGACCUCGUGACGAAUUUCUCUGAUCUAAUUUUGACCCAUACAGUUAGUCCCUCUGCUUAUCGAGGUCGCCUCUUGGUCGAGCUCGGUGAACGGACUUCAUUGAUCGUAGUUCGAGAAAUUCAGAUGGGGAGGUUGAAAUGACAGAGGCAAUGUUUAUGCGCCCUCAUAGGGUGAAGACGACACCUUAUAGAGAAUCUUCUAAGCAUCCUGAUCCGUUUCCAAAGGGUUCAUAAAAAAGACCAGGACCCCAAGUUUUCCAACGCUCAUCAUACGAUUUGAAAGCUUGUUCCGUCAAAUCAAGAUAUAUACCAUCAAUGGGUUUACAAGUACUGAAAAUAUUUAGGCUACUAUAAUUAAGUGCGCAACUUAUUUAUUUCUCCAUGUAUUUCACCAUUAAUGGUGGUGGUGAAUCUGAUCCAGGUUCCAUGGAUGCAAGUUCUUGCAAUUAUUUCUAGAAUAUAUGUCCAGAGUAGAAUCAUCGCAAAAAAGUACAUUUCGGCAUUUGGUACGGCACUAACAUUUUGAACUACCAAAGACACGAGAAUGUCAUAAAUGACAACAAUUCUCUUACCUUUAUCUGCUGCAGACAAAAUCUUACAAGAUCUGCCAUUGGUCGUCGAGACUCCAUAGCAGCGUAGAAAGAGGGUAUUUAAAUUUGAAGGGUAAAAGCUGUUGCUGUCAGGAGGAAUGUUGUCGAGAAUAGUGUGACCACUAAAUUUAUAUAGGUGCAUUGGGUCAUGGACUUAAAUUGUAGGUGAGACCAGAACUUCUCUCACUCUCAUUUUCUUGUAUUCCUAAUAUAAUCUGGAUGCUAUCAGUGAUUAUUGUUUCAUUUUCACGUUGCCCUAGUCAGUUCGAACGAGGCCUAGUUGUGAAUCAAGUUCGAGCUAGGUCGAAUGAGAGUCAAAUUCGAGUGAAGUAGAAUUAUUACUUUUGGCGAUGGCCUUUGGCCCUAGGGGUGUUAUUUCGGGCAAAGGUCGAAGUGUUAACUCGUUGUAAUUCGAGCGAGGUCGAAUCCUUUCUUUUAGUAAUGGCCCUUGGCUAUAGGGGUAUUAUUUCGAGCUAAGGCCAAAAUCAUAACCCGUUCUAAUUCGAGCGAGGUCGAACCCUUUCUAUUAGUAAUGGCCCUAGUGUUAUUUCGAGCUAAGGCCGAAAUGUUAACCCGUUGUAAUUCGAGCGAGGAUGAACUCUUCUUUUUGGAGAAGGCCCUUGCCUUAAAGGGUGUUAUUUCGACUUAUCAAAAUGUUAAUCCGUCGUCGUUCGAUCGAUAUUGAACCCUUCUUUUUGGAGAAGGCCCUUGGCCUUAAAGGGUGUUAUUUCGACUUAUCGAAAUGUUAAUCCGUCGUUGUUCGAUCGAUGUUGAAUUCUUCUUUUUUUGGCGUAGGCCCUUGGCUUUAAAUGGUGUUAGUUCGACUUAUCGAAAUGUUAACCCAUCGUCAUUCGAUCGAUGUCGAACUCUUCUUUUUGGAGAAGGCCCUUGGCCUUAAUGGGUGUUAUUUAGACUUAUCGAAAUGUUAACCUGUCGUUGUUCGAUUGAUGUCAAAUUCUUCUUUUUGGAGAAGGCCCAUGGCCUUAAAGGGUGUUAUUUCUGCUUAUGGAAAUGUUAACCCGUCGUUGUCCGAUCGAUGUCGAAUUCUUCUUUUUUUUUGGGCGAAGGCCCUUGGCCUUAAAGGGUGUUAUUUUGACUUAUCGAAAUAUUAACCUAUCGUCGUUCGAUUGAUGUCGAACUCUUCUUUUUGGAGAAAUCCCUUAGCCUUAAAGGGUGUUAUUUCGAUCUUGUCGAAAUGUUAACCCGUUGUUGUUCAGUCAAGGUCAGACUCUUCUUCUUUGAUGAAGGCCCUUAGCCUUAAAGGGUGUUAUUUCGAACUUGUCGAAAUGUUAACCCGUUGUCUUUUGGUCGAUGUCGCUCUUCUCUUUUGGCGAAGGCCCUUGGCCUUAAAGGGUGUUCCCUAGGGGAGUCUCAAUUUACUUAAUUUUGCUUGCAUUGAAGAAUAUGACAUACUUCCUGGGGGAGUCCCAGUUUGCUCAACUUUGCUUGCAUUGGAGCAUAUGAUGUAUUUCCUGGGGGAGUCCCAGUUUGUUUAGUUUUACUUGUAUUGGAGAAUAUGAUGUAUUUUUUGUUCAUGUAUCUAGGAGAAUGCUCCUGCUUCUAUUUCACUUAAGGAAAUAAUUAUUUAAAAUAAAAUAAAAGUGUUCGUUACCUCGAUUUGAUCGGUCGACGAGUGGAGAGGAGUAACCAUGUUCCCUUCUCCGAUUAUGCUUUUAGUCGCCCCUAUCAGUUUGCCAAGAGAAGGUCGUUCCGCCGAAUAAAGAGGAAUAUAUGCGAAAAACACCCUAAAUCUUAGAGCGAGAAGGCAAACCCUCGUCAAACACAAUCCCAACAUAUAACGAAGACGUCUGAUUCGACAAACUUUCCAGCACCAUCGCCUCCGCCGAUUUCCUUGUCAGUAAUGUAGGGGCUCAAUUUAAAAGAUAAUACUAAGAAAGCUUUGGUCCUUCGCUUUUGAUUUACCUUGAUGCUUCUUCCCACAAAAAAUAGUACCUGGAAGUCAUAUAAGCCAACAUCCAAGCAAGAUAGACAGCGAAUGAACAAAUCCUUGAUUUCUAGCUUUUAAGAAUGUUGUCUUUUAUUUUUCUUUUUUCUAAAACCGUUAGUUUAAGUUUUUUUCGUAGACCCUUCAAACGGUCUGUUUUAUAGCAGUACAGUACCUUGCUUCUAAUCUUGAUACGUCCAGGACCUGGCCCUGCUCAAGAUCUUAACAAAUAUAUUUCUUUUCUAAUUCACCUAUCAAUCUCGACUCUAAUUAUUUUUGGAGGCAUGCAACAUAAGAUCGUUUUGUAAUUUUCCUUAGAAUAAUAUACUUCAGCUACCUCGUAGAGUAGUAUUUUAUAUGUAAUGGUCCCUCUGAUUUAUUUUCUUAUUAUAUUGAAAUUCCAAAAAAAAGAUGCUCCUUUGUAUGGAUUAUUAAAUUCUGUUUGGUCCACAAAUUGUGGGGUUUUGACCUUGUGAGUGUCCAACAAGAUAGACAGCAAACGAAACAAUGACGCUACACCGUGUAGAAAGCGAAACUAGAAUUUUGUUUAGAUCUAGAGGAAAUUAAAAUUUUAGCUAGAAAAUUUUCACAGACGAUGUUAAAUUGUUCGACUCAAAAGUUGUCAAAUACUUUCCGAGCAAAUUAUCAAAAUGAAUCAAGGGUAAAUUCUAAUUAAGAAUAAUUAACUCUAGAUCCGAGAUGAAUAAUACGAAUUAAAAGACAUAGUCGAAUAUAAAUGUUGAUGGCGAUUAUGACCAGGUUUAAUGGCAUAAAGAAAAAUGCAUUAAAUAACAAAAAUAUGAAUAAAGAAAAAGGUUCACCCGAUCUUUGGUGAGAUGGAUCUUCUUUCUUUUGAUAAAGAUGAAUGAUAGACAAAUAUAAGAACCUCAUGACUCUUUUUGGAUCUGAUGAAGGUAUUAGAUCACAUGUCCUGUCAUUUCUUUGGAGAAGUAUAUUUACAUAUUUCUAGAAAGAGAGAGAGGGAGAGAGAGAGCCCAAUAAUAGUUCAAUAAUCCUCCCCCUUUAU